CCAGAUCUGAGCUGCGUCUGCGACCUACACCGCAGCUCCCAGCAACGCUGGAUCCUUAACCCGCUGAGUGAGGCAAGGAUCGAACCCAUGUCCUCAUGGAUGCGAGUCGGGUUUGUUAACCACUGAGCCACGAUGGGAACUGCCGGUUUCUGGAAUCUCUUGAAAUGCCUAAGAACUGCUCCAGGAGUGACUCAUGUAAAACAGGCCCCUGCAGAAGCCAGGCUUUCCAGGUGGUGGCAGCUGCCACUCCACAGGAAGGCGCCUGGGCGAGGCUGCCACAGGAGGCACACGUGUCCGGUCUCUCCACAACUCAACACUCGAAAUGACACUCGAAAUACUCUUCAGCCCUUGUGAUGGGAGAACGAAUACGGGGACAGGGGGUGAAUCAGCCCCAGAGGGGGCUGCUCCUGACAGGGUGAGGACCCUGGCCAGCUUUGCCAGCCACACAGUGGGGGGCUGUCUGGACCAUCACCCAUGGCCAACAUUGUGACUUUGGGACAACAUGUUAAUUUGAAUGUGUUUGAAACCAAGAAUCAUGAGACAGACUGUAGAACCUCUUAGCAAUGUCCAAUUUGUGCUCGCCUGCCUAGACUUGGAAUCGAUCUGGUUUCCCUCAGGGAAAAAUACUCCACGUCUCAGCGUGUCUCAGGAGGGCCAUCCCAGGUAUUGUAGAGAUUUGUGUAGACAUGACUUUAAAACAAAGAUUGUGUCUUUCAUUUCAUGGAUCUACUUCCUCAAGUGCCUAACCGGGGCUUUGAAUGCAGUAGGUGUUUUUGUACUAGACUCUGGACUAGUGGAGGGGAAGAAAGGAUUUGCACCUCCCAAGGGUUCAGGUUACACUCCGAGAAAUCAAAUUUUGGAAAGGAUCUGGCACUGUAUUAAAACAACACCACUUUUGAGAAACUAUCACAUGGAAACGAAGCUCCUGUUCAUAAGGGUACACGUGAAAAAACAUUUGUUGCCAAGUUGCUUAGCAUGAUGAGACACUCAGAAUGACUUGAAAAAUCCAUCAGCUAGUUUACCGAAAUAUGGUUUAUCCACACAGUGAGACAUUUUACAGCUUUUAAAAAUAACUUGGAUUUACAUAGAAUAACCUGGAGAGAAGUCUGUAAUGCACUGUUCAAUGAAGAAAGCAAGCUGCUGAGCGAUGUAUAGUAUGAUUCCUCUUCUAUACGACAUUUAGAUGGUCCCUGACUUAUGGAGUUUCGAUUUACCUUUUGUUUUCUGACUUUGUGAUGGUGCAAAAGUGAUGUGCUUCAGUAGAAACCAUACUUCGAGUGUUGAAUUUUGGUCUUUUCCUGGUCGGGCGUAGGCAGUCAAAUACUCUCUCGUGAUGCUGGAUGGUGACCGCAUCGCCCACUCAGCCCCGCGAUCACCAAGAUGAGCAACCAGUACACCCAUUCUGUACCCAGACAACCCUUCUGUUUUUCACUUUUGGUAUGAUACCCAAUUCUUUCCAUGAGGCAAUCAACAUUUCGUUAUAAAAUAGGCUUUGUGUUAGACGAUCUUGCCCAAUCAUAGGUUAAUGUAAGCAUUCUGAGCACAUUUAAGGUAGGUCAGGUGUAUUAUGAUGUUUGGGAGGUUGGGUGUAUUAAAUACACUUUUGAAUUAUGAGAUUUUCCAUUUAGAAUGAGUUUAUCAGGAUGGAACCCCACUGUAAAUCAAGGAAAAUCUAUACGUACACCUGCAUGAGAAACAAAUGUUGGAUACUCAGUAAGACAUUAAUUGGCAUAUGCCCUCUCAGAUCUGUGAAUGACUGGCUAAUGGGGACCUGCUAUGGAGCACAGGGAGCUCUACCCAAUAUUCCGUGAUAAUUUAUGUGGGAAAAGAAUUUGAAAAAGAAUGGGCGUGUGUAUAUGUAUAACUGAACUGCUUUGUUGUACAGGAGAAAUUAUCACAACUUUAUAAAUCAACUCUGCUUCAAUAAAACUUCAAAAAAAGAAAGAAAAGUUAAAAGAAAAGCUAAAAAAAUUACCUCAGAGGAGUAAUGUUUUAAUUUUUUCAAAAUUUAGUGAAGUCCAUG